GAUAGACGAAUAGGGAGAGGAAUCGGUGAUUGAUGGUUUGCGAUCUAGAUGCGUCGAAUGUCGCACAUGAAGUUUGGAACAAUUGAUUUGGCGGGUGAAGAUUACUGAAAUGUGAACAUGAUGAGGUCUCCGCACGAGUUGAAUCGGACUUGGCUUGUGAAGUUGUUGUUGCUGCGAGAUUACGAGACAGUUGCGAUGAUGAUGAUGAUGAUUCUUGUGAUGUUGAUGAUUUUCUGAGGAGAUUCUGAAAGAAAUCGAGAUAGUGAAGAAUCACGAUGAAGUUUGUUACAUUGUGAGGUGAGUUCCAAUUCUGUUUUCUCCUUUAUAUCUUUUCUACUGGAUUUUCUGUUAUGGUUCUCUAUGAUGAAGAACGUGAAGUCAAAGAUGGAAGGGAUUGAAUCGGUCAAUUGAUGAAUGUUGAUGAUGAACGUGAUGCGGUUCAGAAUAUGAAGAUUAUGGAGUGUGGAAGGUUGAAGAAGUGAUGAAGACGAAGAUCGAGGUUGGAUAUUUGAUCAGUGACGAUUUGCUGUGAACUCAGAUGCGUGUCUGAGAGUUGGUUAGAGGUGAUGAAUUGGUGAUGAAUCUUCCGAGUUUUCUGGUGAGGAUUCCAUGAAGAUGAGGAUGCGAUGAAGGUGGUUAUCGAGAUUCAAUCAAUAUAGAGAGAAGGUUCAUUGCAUAUUAUUAGCUUGCGCAUGAUGACAAAGGAUGUGGAUCAAGGACGUGAAACAUGGAUAAGGCACAAAGACUCAAUGUAAAAUUUGGAUAUUUGAAUUUUUUUGUAAUGAAUUUUGUAUGGGAUUGUAAUGGGCUUUGUAAUUUUUUGUAAUGAAUUUUGUAAAAAUGGAUUUGUAAUGGGCUUGAAUGAUGUAAUGGACAUGGA